rnacentral:tRNA from 1 species
GCUACUGUUGAGGCUAUUUUUGGCCUCCGAAGCCAAGGGUCGCUGGUUCGAUCCCAGCCAGCCGCACCA